CCUACGGGGGGCUGCAGUGGGGAAUAUUGGACAAUGGGCGAAAGCCUGAUCCAGCCAUGCCGCGUGUGUGAAGAAGGCCUUCGGGUUGUAAAGCACUUUCAGUGGGGAAGAAAGCCUUGGGGCUAAUACCCUCGAGGAAGGACAUCACCCACAGAAGAAGCACCGGCUAACUCCGUGCCAGCAGCCGCGGUAAUACGGAGGGUGCGAGCGUUAAUCGGAAUUACUGGGCGUAAAGCGCGCGUAGGCGGUCUGAUAAGCCGGUUGUGAAAGCCCCGGGCUCAACCUGGGAACGGCAUCCGGAACUGUCAGGCUAGAGUGCAGGAGAGGAAGGUAGAAUUCCCGGUGUAGCGGUGAAAUGCGUAGAGAUCGGGAGGAAUACCAGUGGCGAAGGUGGCCUUCUGGACUGACACUGACGCUGAGGUGCGAAAGCGUGGGUAGCAAACAGGAUUAGAUACCCUUGUAGUC
rnacentral:rRNA from 1 species